UACGUAGGGACCAAGCGUUGUUCGGAAUUACUGGGCGUAAAGGGCUCGUAGGCGGCCAACUAAGUCGGACGUGAAAUCCCUCGGCUUAACCGGGGAACUGCGUCCGAUACUGGUUGGCUUGAGUUUGGGAGAGGGAUGCGGAAUUCCAGGUGUAGCGGUGAAAUGCGUAGAUAUCUGGAGGAACACCGGUGGCGAAGGCGGCAUCCUGGACCAACACUGACACUGAGGAGCGAAAGCCAGGGGAGCAAACGGG
rnacentral:rRNA from 1 species